CCUACGGGGGGCUGCAGUGGGGAAUCUUCCGCAAUGGGCGCAAGCCUGACGGAGCAAUGCCGCGUGAACGAAGAAGGUCUUCGGAUUGUAAAGUUCUGUCCUUAUCGAAGCGAGAGUAUAGAGUGAAAAAUGAUAUACUAGGACGGUAGAUGAGGAGGAAGCCCCGGCUAACUACGUGCCAGCAGCCGCGGUAAUACGUAGGGGGCGAGCGUGGUACGGAAUCAAUGGGGGUAAAUGGCGCGUAGGCGGGAAUAUAAGUCAGAUGUGAAAGGUGGGGGCUCAACACCUUGAGUGCAAAUGAUACUGUAUAAAGUGAGUGUGAGAGAGGGAAGCGGAAUUCCUAGUGGAGCGGUGAAAGGAGUAGAUAUUAGGAGGAAAACCAGUGGCGAAGGCGGCUUUCUGGCUCAUAACUGACGCUGAGGCGCGAAAGCGUGGGGAGCAAACAGGAUUAGAUACCCUGGUAGUC
rnacentral:rRNA from 1 species